rnacentral:snRNA from 1 species
AUCGCUUCUCGGCCUUUUGGCUAAGAUCAAGUGUAGUAUCUGUUCUUAUCAGUUUAAAAUGAUUACACUAGUUAUAUUUCUUGCAGGCUAAUACAUUACCUUAU